CACGUAGGGUGCGAGCGUUGUUCGGAAUUAUUGGGCGUAAAGAGCUCGUAGGCGGUCUGUCGCGUCGGUCGUGAAAACUUGGGGCUUAACCCUGAGCUUGCGGUCGAUACGGGCAUGACUGGAGUUCGGCAGGGGAGACUGGAAUUCCUGGUGUAGCGGUGAAAUGCGCAGAUAUCAGGAGGAACACCGGUGGCGAAGGCGGGUCUCUGGGCCGAUACUGACGCUGAGGAGCGAAAGCGUGGGGAGCAAACAGG
rnacentral:rRNA from 1 species